rnacentral:lncRNA from 1 species
UGCAGCAAUCCAGGUGGAAGACUGCAGCUACUGAAGUUGGCUUGGUAGGACAGUGGCAAGGAAAAUUUGUAAGCAAACAAACCCAGCAUGUGUCCAUUCAAUUUCAGAUUAUAGAAGAAUCUAGUAUCUACGAUGACAUGACAACAUUGCCCAAGACCUUCAAUAUGGUUCAAAGGGAUAGGAACACCAAAGGACGGUGCCAUUAAGAUUGAUUCCUCUUCAUUUAGGAAAAAGAAGAUUUUACAUCCAACGCUGUCUAAAUUUAUUAUACAGCAGUUUUCCAACUUUGUUGAGAAAAUGAUACUUGCU